CAGGUAUUCCUGAGAAACUUGAGGAAUUCACCCCCUCUACAUCUGGCUCUGAUAUAGAUGACAAGAGUCUUGGAUAUGAGCUGAUGCUAUAAUGGAAUAAAAAUUUGUGGGGGUCUUGGGAGAUGGUGUUGAUCCCUAAUAAAUAACUUGUACUCCAAACUUCUCAAGGUCUUCUUCUGGAGAAUCCAAGAAGUAUAUUAUCUUAUUUCUGGAAUGAGGUACUUUGGCUUACCCAUGUUAUAAACAACAGGCAAGAGGUAAGGCUCAUUAAUCUCAUUUACUUUCCUUAAAAGGAAAACCAAAUGUUAAAUGUCUAUAUCAGAAGGUAUUAGCCCCCAAGUAGGACAUUUUCCUAAGGUUGUGAUAUAACCAGUAGUAUUUGACAAUCUGAUAUGCUUUGAACAGACUUUGAAAAAUGUGGCCUUUAACAAAAGCAACUAAUAUUUAAAUGUAGCUGUUUAGGAACUUGUUAGGUGAUAAAUUUGGAGCAGGAAAACCUUUAAGAUUUUCAAUAUAUUUUUAAUCAUUCCAUAAAAUAAAAGUGCUGUCUUAGCCCUGGCUACUGUAGUUCAGUAGAUUGAUUAUUGGCCUGUGAAGCAAAGGGUCACCAGUUCAAUUCCCAGUCAGGGCACAUACCUGGGUUGUAGGCCAGGUCCCCAGUAGAGGGUAUGUGA